CUUAGUUUUAAAAUUUUGUUUAUCAUAAUUUUUAAAUAAGUUUUUGGGUCUGCGACUAUUUUUAAAUAUUUCAGAUUAUGUGAUUUAAUAAGAGCAACAAUUUAAAUCUCUCUACUUUUUUAAUAAUACUCUACAAGAAAAAGUUGACUUUUUAGGUUCAUAGAAUAAUUAAUGUAUUUUAUUGUUAAUAUAGACUAGAUAAUAAGGACCGGAGGGAGUAGCUUGUAUGCUCACCACACCAGGAGUGUUUGAUUCACGUGGGCAAGCAAGAAAGCAUAAACAGUUUAAAAACCUAUCACAAGUGAAAUUCUUUUUUACCAUCUAA
rnacentral:lncRNA from 1 species